AUGACUAUAUCAUGUUGAAACAUUUGGUUCUUGUAAGAUCACUGCAGUUAAGCAACAUUGAGCCUGGUCAGUACCUAGAUGGGUGACUGCUUGGGAAUACCAAGUGCUA